UUUGGGGUCGUGGGUAUUGGGGGUAUCAGUUAUUGGGGGUAUCUGGUUUUGGGGUUUCAGUUAUUGGGGUAUCUGGUUUUGGGGUUUCAGUUAUUGGGGGUAUCUGGCUUUGGGGUCGUGGGUACUGGGGGUAUCUGGUUUUGGGGUUGUGGGUAUUGGGGGUUUCAGUUAUUGGGGUAUCUGGUUUUGGGGUCAUGGAUAUUGGGGGUCUCAGUUAUUGGGGUUAUCUGGUUUUGGGGUCGUGGGUAUUGGGGGUAUCAGUUAAAGGGGGGAUCUGGUUUUGGGGUCAUGGAUAUUGGGGGUUUCAGUUACUGGGGGUAUCUGCUUUUGGGGUCGUGGGUAUUGGGGGUAUCAGUUAUUGGGGUAUCUGGUUUUGGGGUCGUGGGUAUUGGGAGUAUCAGUUAUUGGGGUAUCUGGUUUUGGGAUCGUGGGUAUUGGGGGUAUCAGUUAAAGGGGGGAUCUGGUUUUGGGGUCAUGGAUAUUGGGGGUAUCUGUUUUUUAGGGGUAUCUGGUUUUGGGGUUGUGUGUAUUGGGGGUAUCAGUUAUUGGGGUAUCUGGUUUUGGGGUCGUGGGUAUUGGGGGUAUCAGUUAUUGGGGUAUCUGGUUUUGGGGUCGUGGGUAUUGGGGGGUCAUGGUUAUUGGUGGUAUCUCGUUAUUGGGGUAGUGGUUAUGGGGAGUAUCUGUUACUGGAGGUCAUGGUUAUUGGGGGUAUCUGUUUUUGGGGUCCCGGUUAUUGGGUUUCGGGAUUAUCCGUCAUUAAAGAUCAUGAUAAUUGGGGUUAUCUAUUUGUGGGUCAUGGUUAUUGGGUGAUCAGUUAUUAGGGUCACUGGUUAUUGGGGUUAUGAGCAUUGGGAGUAUCAGCUAUUGGGGUUAUCUAUUGGGGGGUCAUGGUUAUUGGGGUGAUCAGUUAUUAGGGUCACGGGUUAUUGGGGUUAUGAGCAUUGGGAGUAUCAGCUAUUGGGGUUAUCUGUUGGGGGGUCGCGGUUAUCGGGGCUGUUAGGUAUUGGGGUGCUGGUUAUUGGGGUUAUCUGUUCUUGCAGUUGUGGUUUGGGGGGUUAUGGUUGUUGGGGUUAUCAGUUGCUGGAGGCCAUGGUCUUUGGGGUUAUUAGGGUUAUUGGGGUCACGGUUAUUUGGGGUAUCUAUAUUGGGGGUAUCAGUUACUGGGGGUCAUAUUAUUGGGGCUAUUUGGGGUCUCCGUUAUUUGGGGUAUUAGUUAUUGGAGGUAUCCAUCUUUGGGGUUAUGGUUAUUGGGGUGAUCAGUGAUUGGAGGUCAUAGUUACUGGGAUGAUCAGUUGGUAGGGUUAUUGGGGUCAUGGUUAUUGGGGGUAUCAAUAUGUUUUGGGGCUAUCGGUUAUCGGGGUGAUCAGUUAUUGGAGGUCACAGGUAUUGGGGUGAUCGGGUAUUGGGGUUACUGGUUAUUGGGAUCAUUGUUAUUGGGGUUAUCGGGUAUUGGGAAUAGCAGCUGUUGGCAUUAUCGGGGUGAUCAGUUAUUAGGGUUACUGGUUAUUGGGGUCAUGGUCAUUGGGGUUAUCUGUUUUUGGGGUCAUGACAGUGGGGGCUAUUGGGUAUUGAGGAUAUUGGUUGUUGGGGUGAUCAGGUAUUGGGGUUAUCAGGUAUUGGGGUUGUGAUUAUUGGGGUGAUCAGGUAUUGGGGUAUCAGUUAUUGGGGUUGUGAUUAUUGGGGUUAUUGGGUAUUGGGGUAUCAGUUAUUGGGGUUGUGAUUAUUGGGGUUAUCAGGUAUUGGGGUUGUAUUGGGGUUGUGAUUAUUGGGGUGAUCAGGUAUUGAGGUUAUCGGGUGUUGGGGUUGUGAUUAUUGGGGUGAUCAGGUAUUGGGGUUGUGAUUAUUGGGGUUAUCGGGUAUUGGGGUUAUCAGGUACUGGGGUUGUGAUUAUUGGGGUUAUCGGGUAUUGGGGUUAUCAGGUAUUGGGGUUGUGAUUAUUGGGGUUAUCGGGUAUUGGGGUUAUCAGGUAUUGGGGUUGUGAUUAUUGGGGUUAUCGGGUAUUGGGGUAUCAGUUAUUGGGGUUGUGAUUAUUGGGGUUAUCGGGUAUUGGGGUGAUCAGGUAUUGGGGUUGUGAUUAUUGGGGUUAUCAGGUAUUGGGGUGAUCAGGUAUUGGGGUUAUCGGUAUUGGGGUUGUGAUUAUUGGGGUGAUCAGGUAUUGGGGUUGUGAUUAUUAGGGUUAUCAGGUAUUGGGGUAUCAGUUAUUGGAGUUGUGAUUAUUGGGGUAGUGAUUAUUGGGGUUAUCAGGUGUUGGGGUAUCAGUUAUUGGGGUUGUGAUUAUUGGGGUUAUUGGGUAUUGGGGUAUCAGUUGGUGGGGUUAUCAGUUACUGCAGUCGUGGUUAUUGGGAUCAUCGUGGUUGGAGUUCUCACUUAGUGGGUUUAUUGAUUUUUGGGGCCACGGUUGUCGGGGUUUUUGGGGUUAUCAGUUAUCGGAGGUCACAGUUCUUGGGAUUAUCAGUUAUUGGUGUCGUCGUUGUUGGGGUUAUCAGUUAUUGGGGUUAUCAGUUAUCGGAGGUCACAGUUCUUGGAGUUAUCAGUUAUUGGGGUUGUGGUUAUGGGGUUUAUUGAUUCGUUUUUGGGGGCGGCAUCGCAGUCGUUGAGGUUACCAAUUGUUGGGGUUCUCUCUAAAGAAGGGGUGUGUGGCCCUCGAAGAAAGCAGCCAAAACGUGGUGCUGUCCCCCCAAAACAGCCCUAAGAUGUGCGGCCGCAGAGCGACCCCAAAGCGUCCCCCCAAAAAGGGACCUCGUGGUCAAUCGGCCCCACAGGGACGGACGGCCCGGAAGGGAGGAGUGGGGUUGGAGGCCCCGCGUCCCUACUAAUAUGGGAUGCCGAAAAGUCCGAGUGUGUGCAUUAAUAGGGCGGGAGGUUUCGGUAGGUGGCAGUGUGACCCCACAGCCGCUGCUGAACCCCACAACUGCCCGGAAAUGGGGGGAAUUCCCGUAAAUUAUGGGGCUGCUGAGCAUCCCGUUGCUCCGUGUUGAUCACUUGGGGGGCGCCGAGCUCUAUUGGGGUCGUAGUGAUUGAGGGUAUCAGUUAUUGGGGGUAUUGCUUUUUUUGGGGUCACGGUCAUUGGGAGUAUCGGUUAUUGGGAGCAUUGGUUAUUGGGGUCGUGGGUUUUGGGGUUCCAGUGAUUGGGGUCGUGAUUAUUGAGGGUAUUAUCAUGAUUAUUGGGGUGUUAUCAGUUAUUGGGGUCAUGGUUGUUGGGGGUAUUAUUUUUGGGGGGUUAUUGGGGUAUUGGUGGGGGUAUCAGUUAUUGGAGUCACAGAUAUUGGGGGAUUGGUUAUUGGGGUCAUGGCUUGGGGUGGGUCAUGGUGAUUAGGGGUAUUUAGUGGUUAUUGGGGUCAUGGUGAUUGGGGUCAUGGUUAUUGGGGGUAUUGGUUAUUGGAGUCACAGAUAUUGGGGGGCAUAGGUUAUUGGGGUCACAGUUGUUGGAGAGAUGGUUUUGGGGGGGUUAUUGGUUAUUGGGGGUUUUGUUAUUGGGGUUUUGUUAUUGGGAUCAUAGCUAUUGAGGGUAUUGUUUUGGGGGGUUGUCAGUUAUUGGGGUCACGGUUAUUGGGGGUAUCAGAGUGACAGAUACUGGGGGGCAUAGGUUAUUGGGGUCACAGUUAUUGGAGUGAUGGUUUUGGGGGGUAUCGGUGAUUGGGGUCAUGGUUAUUGAGGGUUUUGUUAUUGGGGUUGUGGUCAUUGGGGCUAUUGGUUAUUGGGGUCACGGUUACCGGGGAUAUCAGUUAUCAGAGUCACAGAUUUUGGGGGCAUUGGUUAUUGGGGUCGCAGCGGAGGCUUGGUUUUGGGGAGUCAUAGCGAUUUGGGGUAUCCAUUUUUGGGGUCGUGGUGAUUGGGUUAUUGGGGGGGGGUUAUUGAGGUCAUGGUUUGGGGGGUAUCCGUUAAUGGAGUCACAGAUAUUUGGGGGUGUAGGUUGUUGGGGUACAGGUUACUGGGGUCACAGUCAUCGGAGGCAUGGUUUGGGGGGUCAUAGUGAUUGGGGUAUCGGUUAUCGGGGUGACGGGGCGUACUGUUUUUGGGGGGGUUGUUGGAGUCACAGGUAUUGAGGCUACGGGUUACUGGGGUCGUAGUUAUCGAUGGUACGGUUUUGGGGCGAUGGUGGUUUUGGGAUGACGGUUAACGGGGUCACGGUUGUUGGAGGUGUUGGUUUGGGGGUUCAAAGAGAUGGUAGGUUGCGGUGGUUGGUUUGGGGGGGUCAUGGUUAUGGGGAAUUGGCUUUUGGGGACACGUGCAUCCCCACCCCGCCCCGCCGGGCUCUGACGUAUCCCAUUAAUCACGGGACUGGAAAAUCACCCGCUGUCUCCGAUUUCCCUCUCCGGGAAGGUCGGGGGGAAGGGCAGCGCCGGGGCUGUGGGGCGGCCCUAUUCCGAUGAGCGCAAUCUCCUGGCGCGGCCCCAAGUGUCACAUGGGGCCGUUGGAGGAGCUCCAUCCCAAUGGGGCCGGGUGGAUCCUGAGUGAUCCUACAGGCGUCGAUCCGAAGGACCCGGCUCCCUUUUUCCCUGACCUGGCACCCACCCCAUUGAGUGGCAUCCCCGUACGGUCCUCUGCUUUGGGGUGGGGGCAGACCCUAUAAAGCAUUGCGGGGGGGAAUUGUGAGCUGUGUGUCAAACGAAAUCCCAUUAGCGAACCCCAAAGCCUUCCGUGAGACCCUCCCCGUGCUGCGGUUCCCUCCUUCACCUUCUGCUGGUGGUGCCGACCCCAUAGGAAUCGCCCCCAGAGAUGCCCCACUUUGGGGACCGGCCAUAUAGAUCCUAAAUAGAUAGAUAUGUGUGGGUUUGGCACGCUGGCCCAGCAGGAGCCCCCCACAUCUAUGGGGCGGAUUCAUCCCUCGUUCCCCAUCGGGAUGUGACCUAAUGGGGAUGCUCCCAUCCCGGCUUUGGGAUGGGGGGCAAUUAUGUGUGUAAUAGGGCAGAAACGAGAACUUUGCCCGCUGUGCAGGUGGAGCUUGAAAGCCCUCAUUCUGCUAUUAGGGUCAUAAAGCUCUCUCCGGUGCCAUAAAUCCUUAUCUUGGUGGAGGGGGACGGAUAGUUCCGGAAACCCAAAGGACAUUCACACCCCAAACCCCACACUGAUGUCUUCCCCCAAUGUCUUCCACAUUGGGGAGUGGUGUGGCCGGGCAGCGGGGUGCGUUUCCCCUACAGGAGCAGUAGGGUCGUUUGGAGUUAGUGGGAUAAGGGCUCUGCUCCGGGUCUGGGGGGUAUUAUAGGGGAUUUCUGUAGGGCAACAAGCCAUGCUGCCAUUGGGCUGACGGCGGCGGUGGGCUGCGUGCAUUGGAUGUAUGGGAUGGGGAUGAGGACAGGGAUGGGGACGAGGUGGGAUGGGAGGGACAGAGAUUUGGGAAUGGGUGGGGUGGGAAUGAGAAUGGGGAUGGGAUAGGAUGGGGACAGGAAUGGGUAUGGGGUGAGAAUGGGAUGGGAAUGAGAUUUGGGUUGGGAUGGGAUGGAGUGGGCAUGCAGUGAGAGUGGGAUGGGGAUGGCAUAGGAUGAGGAUAGCGACCGGGAUGGGAAUGGGAUAGGAAUGGGAUGGAAUGGGAUGGGGAUGCGAUUUGGGAUGAGGAUAGGAUGGAAUGGGCAUGCAAUGAGGAUGAGAGGGGGAUGGGAUGGGGAUGAGGAUAGCAACAGGGAUAGGGACAGAGACAGGGAUGAAGAUGGAUGGGGAUGAGGAUUAGGGCGGGGAGGGGAAUGAGUAUGGGAUGGUAUGGGGGCAGGAAUGGGGAUGGGAUGGAAGUGGGAUAGGGAUGGGGAUGGGUGAGGAUAGAGAUGAGGAUGGGGACAGGAAUGGGGAUGGAGAUGGGAUAGGAUGGGAAUGAGGAUGGAGAUGGGGUGAAGAUGAAGAUGGGCUAGGAUGGGAUGAGGGUGGGGAUGGGGAUGGAGAUGAGAUAGGAUGGGAUGGGGAUGGGGUGAAGAUGGAGAUGGGACGGGAUGGGAAUGAGGACAGGGAUGGGGAUGGAGAUGAGAUAGGAUGGGAAUGAGGGUGGGGAUGGGGUUAAGAUGGAGAUGGGACAGGAUGGAAAUGAGGGUGGGGUGAAGAUGGAGAUGGGAUAGGAUGGGAAUAGGGUGAAGAUGGAGAUGAGGCAGGAUGGGAAUGAAGACAGGGAUGGGGUGAAGAUGGAGAUGGGAUGGGAAUGAGGGCAGGGAUGGGGAUGGAGAUGGGAUAGGAUGGGAUAGGAUGGAAAUGAGGGCAGGGACGGGGAUGGGAUGGAGAUGGGAUGGGAAUGGGAUAAAGAUGGAGAUGGGAUAGGAUGGGAAUGGGGAUGGGGUGAAGAUGGAGAUGGGAUGGGAAUGGGAUAAAGAUGGAGAUGGGAUAGGAUGGGAAUGGGGAUGGGGUGAAGAUGGAGAUGGGAUAGGAUGGAAAUGAGGGUGGGGAUGGGGUGAAGAUGGAGAUGGGAUGGGGAUGGGGGCAGGGAUGGGGACGGAGAUGGGAAGGAGGGCAGGAACAGAGAGGGGAUGCGGACAGCGAUGGGGAUGGAUGGGAAUGGGGAGGGGAUGGGCUCAGAUGGGUCCAUCUCCGCACCCGGCCGAGGGAAGGCGCCGCGCUCGGAGCGGACCCCGGACUGAGCGCAGGGCUGAAGCUCCGCGCCUGAGAGCCGAACCCUCCGCGCUUAACUCUGCGCGGCCGGGCUGGGAAUCCGCGCGGGGUUACGGUGGGGAAGCGAUCCUUUCCGGCGCUGCCCUCCCGCCUCGUUAAUCCCGUCUGAUGGAAUUAAGGAGCCGUCCUCAAUAAACCUCUUUGCUCACAGCUCCUCUUCCGGAGCCGCGCGUGGCUGCGGUCACGUAGGGAUGGGGGGGGUGGGGGAGGCGGCCGCGUGCCCCCCAAC
rnacentral:lncRNA from 1 species